rnacentral:lncRNA from 1 species
CUGAUCUUCCACGAUUCUCUACUGGUACAGAGACUUUAUCUUUCACACAGACUUCAAAUAUCUUUGGGAAUUUGUGCUCCUUAUUUACUGAGUGCUUGAGAAGAAAAGACAAAGCCAGUGGAAUGGUCCGAGUGUGGCAUCCGCUGCAUUUAUAAAGAAUAAGAGCUGCAGUGGGUGUGAUUCUUGGACAGAGUGGCGCUCAUCCUUGUUCCUGCAAUGAAGGACAUGCCAGCCUCCAGGCUCUUUGACAGAUGAUUGGAACUGUGCAAAUAUUAUGGAAGAUACCCCGUGUCAAGAAGCUGACAGCACACACGUUUGGGAAGGAUUUAGUGGCUGAAGCACUUCUAGAAGCUCUCACUCUGUUGCCUAGGCUGGAGCGCAAUGGCAUGAUUAUGGCUCACUGCAGCCGGAACCUCCCAGGCUCAAGUGAUACUCUCACACCUCAGCCUCCUGAGUAGCUGGGACCAGAGGAUCAGAACCACUCCGGCUUCGACACUCUUUGUGCAUCUUGGCCUUUCGGGUUGCCAUCUCAUCGUCAGUUACCUCUCCACUCUCACCCUGGGAACACAAAGCUCACGAUGGUUCCAAGCCUGUAUUUCUCUCCCAUCACUGCUUUAGUUCAGCUUCCGGAGGCUGUCACCAGAAGCAGAUGCUGGCACCAUGCUUCCUGUACACCUGCAGAACUUGCUUAUGCCCAGGGUAUUGUUUCUCUGCAUAUUGGGCUUCUCAGCAUUCUUUGCUGAUGUUCCGGGGCUGGGGUUUCGAGCACUCCACCGUCUGCCACCAAACAACUCCACAGCGUGAGCCAAAGUUGGGCCUUCAUACCGUCCAUCCUCCUGUGAAAGAGCCACAUGGUGAACACAAUAGGAAGCAUCAAGCAAUGGGGAAGUAAAUAUAUUAAUGUCUCCCAGAAAAUUCCAAGAGGUGGAAGAGCACAGACGGCCACAGAAGAAUAAUGAUCUGGCCACCCAAGUGACUGUUUUCUAACUCACAAGAUUCUCUGUCAGGAAUUUCAUCAUGUCCCCCGUUGUCCUGGUCACAUCACUGCUGAGUUCCAGUGACAUGCUUUAAUACAUCAACUGGGGAACAAAAACUUCCCAUCCCAUUUACAGAGGUUAAAUUGCAGAACUACCACUGUAGGAAAAUUCAUUUAGACUUACUUUGCAAAUUAGGGCCUUGGACAUCCUGGAAGGGAGAGGGGCAGGGUAUCAAUCUAAGUAAAAUCAAGUUGUAUUUGUCCAUUAUUGCCAGGUAGGUUUUCAACUAGUUUGAUGCUUGGGACAGUCGGACUUGAAAUACAGGGUGUGUGUGACAUGCAUGAAAUUCCCUUUGAAGGGCCCCAGGGAGCUCCUAAAAUAGUUGGGCUGCCAUCCCCUUGAGUGGCUGAAAUCUAAAGAUAGGGAGCCCAUGGGACUCAGAACACCAUACAUAUUAGGAUGCUCUGAGCAGCAACAACACACUCAAGGGGCAGGCAAUUGUUCACAGUAGCUACUGCUUCUAAGGCAACUCUGUGUAGCAUCCUGUAAGUAACAGCAGGGAUCUAUUAAUUAAACAAUUGUCAAUGAUUCUCCCCAUAAGUCAGUUAAUAAAACCACAAAAAGUUGCCUAUGAGCUAAAGAUGAUAUUGAUAUUUCAUACACUGUAUAAGCGGGCUCUUUAAAAAUUAAUUUCCAUGUACUGUGUUUACUCUUCAAAAACAUUUCAGGCUGGCUCUCCUUUGCAGUUCCAAAGAAAUGCUUAUGGAUAGAUUUUGCUUUGUUGCAGAUCAUAUGCAAAAAACAAAGAAGCUUUGUGUGUGUGUGUGCUUGCUCCUUCAGCCUAAUGUUUAAUAACUAUCUGAUGUUAUGACUUGUGCAUUCCCACUUCCUGCAUCCUGCUGUGGAUCCCAGGAUGCUGAAUAACUUGGGUACUUGACAAAGAAACCUUUGGGUGACCUCUUAUAGUGGGACAUUGUGACUUAUGGCUGUCCAUGAUCUGUUUCUCCCUUCUCUAACCAUACCCCGAUUUUACUUUAACUGUCUAUUCUCCACUGGAUAUAGUCUCGAUGGGUGUGUCAAUCAAGAUGAAAUAUCCUCCUUUGACCAAUGAUUGGCACAUGAUCCCAAUAAGCCAAUCAGAAGCCCCUUCCUGGAGCAGGGUUCUUGAAUGCAGUGAUACAGAGAAUGAAAAUGGUUGGAGAUCAGUCCAUCUGCUGGAGGCCUGCUGAAGAGAAUCCCUGCUAACAAGUCACUAGGAGUGACUUCAAAUUGGAAUAAACAUUUCAUGAAUGAAACCUAAUGGAUACGUUUUAACUACCAUUUUGAAUAACAUACUCUGAAUCUGAAAGAAGAGUAAAACUUUUAUUUAUGGAUUUUAACCAAUACAUCUUUAAAAGCUUAAUAGGCCCAUUAUAGUUUACAUGUAAAAUAAUUGGCACCAUUAACCUAUACUGCUUUGAUUUUUCUAAUUUCAGAACAUCCCAACAUGGGUCAAACUUUACCACUAACAGAAAUAUGUUUAGGUCAG